CUCAUCUGGACACGCUCUAAUCAGCCAAGAUGGGCACGGGUCAAGAGGACAGGUGGUGGGCUUUCCAGCUCGGAGGAGUCUGUCCACAUCGGCUGGGGAUAUCCGGUCAAAGUGGUCCAAUACUGGACCCAAGGACAGUCGAGGGGCCUCCAGUUCCUUUAUUGUAUCCAAAUUGGCAGGGAGGUCAUGGCGGAGCAACAGG